AGUUCGGAUUGAAGGCUGAAAUUCGCCUACAUGAAGCUGGAAUUGCUAGUAAUGGCAGGUCAGCAUACUGCCGUGAAUACGUUCCCGGGCCUUGUACACACCGCCCGUCACACCAUGAGAGUUGGGGAUACCCGAAGCCUGUGAGCCAACUGUAAAGAGGCAGCAGUCGAAGGUAGAAUCAAUGAUUGGGGUGAAGUCGUAACAAGGUACC
rnacentral:rRNA from 1 species